rnacentral:rRNA from 1 species
UACGUAGGGUGCGAGCGUUGUCCGGAAUUACUGGGCGUAAAGAGCUCGUAGGUGGUUUGUCGCGUUGUCCGUGAAAACUCACAGCUUAACUGUGGGCGUGCGGGCGAUACGGGCAGACUGGAGUACUGCAGGGGAGACUGGAAUUCCUGGUGUAGCGGUGGAAUGCGCAGAUAUCAGGAGGAACAGCCGGUGGCGAAGGCGGGUCUCUGGGCAGUAACUGACGCUGAGGAGCGAAAGCGUGGGGAGCGAACAGG